UACAGAGGUCUCAAGCGUUGUUCGGAUUCAUUGGGCGUAAAGAGCGUGUAGGCGGCCUGACAGGUCUGCUGUGAAAACUCGAGGCUCAACCUCGAGAUGUCGGCGGAAACCGUCUGGCUAGAGUCCGGAAGAGGAGAGUGGAAUUCCUGGUGUAGCGGUGAAAUGCGCAGAUAUCAGGAAGAACACCUAUGGCGAAGGCAGCUCUCUGGGACGGUACUGACGCUGAGACGCGAAAGCGUGGGGAGCGAACAGG
rnacentral:rRNA from 1 species